rnacentral:rRNA from 1 species
UACAGAGGGUGCAAGCGUUGUUCGGAAUUAUUGGGCGUAAAGGGCGCGUAGGCGGUCGUGACAAGUCACUUGUGAAAUCUCCGGGCUUAACUCGGAACGGCCAAGUGAAACUGUCAAGCUAGAGUGCAGAAGGGGCAAUCGGAAUUCUUGGUGUAGCGGUGAAAUGCGUAGAUAUCAAGAGGAACACCUGCGGCGAAGGCGGGUUGCUGGGCCGACACUGACGCUGAGGCGCGAAAGCCAGGGGAGCAAACGGG